GUAGGGUGCAAGCGUUAAUCGGAAUUACUGGGCGUAAAGCGUGCGCAGGCGGUGAUGUAAGACAGGUGUGAAAUCCCCGGGCUUAACCUGGGAACUGCAUUUGUGACUGCAUCGCUGGAGUGCGGCAGAGGGGGAUGGAAUUCCGCGUGUAGCAGUGAAAUGCGUAGAUAUGCGGAGGAACACCGAUGGCGAAGGCAAUCCCCUGGGCCUGCACUGACGCUCAUGCACGAAAGCGUGGGGAGCAAACAGGAUUAGAUACCCUGGUAGUCCACGCCCUAAACGAUGUCAACUGGUUGUUGGGUCUUCACUGACUCAGUAACGAAGCUAACGCGUGAAGUUGACCGCCUGGGGAGUACGGCCGCAAGGUUG
rnacentral:rRNA from 1 species